UACGGGGGGGGGCAAGCGUUGUUCGGAAUUACUGGGCGUAAAGGGCUCGUAGGCGGCCAACUAAGUCAUACGUGAAAUCCCCCGGCUUAACCGGGGAACUGCGUCUGAUACUGGAUGGCUUGAGUUCGGGAGAGGGAUGCGGAAUUCCAGGUGUAGCGGUGAAAUGCGUAGAUAUCUGGAGGAACACCGGUGGCGAAGGCGGCAUCCUGGACCGAUACUGACGCUGAGGAGCGAAAGCGUGGGGAGCAAACAGG
rnacentral:rRNA from 1 species